CAAGUCGAACGCGAAAGUCCCCUUCGGGGGGCGAGUAGAGUGGCGUCCGGGUGAGUAACACGUAGGUAAUCUACCUUCGGGUGGGGAAUAACGCAGGGAAACUUGCGCUAAUACCGCAUAAUGCAGCGGCACCACAUGGUGACAGUUGUUAAAGCGGGGGAUUUUCGAACCUCGCGCCUGAAGAGGAGCCUGCGGCAGAUUAGCUAGUUGGUAGGGUAACGGCUUACCAAGGCGACGAUCUGUAGCCGGCCUGAGAGGGCGGUCGGCCACACUGACACUGACAUACGGGUCAGACUCCUACGGGAGGCAGCAGUCGGGAAUUUUGGGCAAUGGGCGAAAGCCUGACCCAGCAACGCCGCGUGAAGGAUGAAAUCCUUCGGGAUGUAAACUUCGCAAGAAUAGGAAGAAUGAGCGAGCGCUAACACCGUUCGUGAUGACGGUACUAUUUGUAAGCUCCGGCUAACUCCGUGCCAGCAGCCGCGGUAAUACGGGGGGAGCAAGCGUUGUUCGGAUUUACUGGGCGUAAAGGGCGCGUAGGCGGUCAGCACAAGUCAGUUGUGAAAUCUCCGGGCUUAACUCGGAAAGGUCAACUGAUACUGUGCGACUAGAGUGCAGAAGGGGCAACUGGAAUUCUCGGUGUAGCGGUGAAAUGCGUAGAUAUCGAGAGGAACACCUGCGGCGAAGGCGGGUUGCUGGGCUGACACUGACGCUGAUGCGCGAAAGCCAGGGGAGCGAACGGGAUUAGAUACCCCGGUAGUCCUGGCCUUAAACGAUGGAUGCUUGGUGUCUGGAGUUUUAUAGUCUCCGGGUGCCGUAGCUAACGCGUUAAGCAUCCCGCCUGGGGAGUACGGUCGCAAGACUGAAACUCAAAGGAAUUGACGGGGACCCGCACAAGCGGUG
rnacentral:rRNA from 1 species